rnacentral:rRNA from 1 species
AUUGAACGCUGGCGGCAGGCCUAACACAUGCAAGUCGAGCGGAGCGGCGGUCGGGUGCGUAAUGCUUAGGAAUCAGCCAGGUCGUGGUGGAUAAGGACAGGAAACGGGCGCGAAUACCGCAUACUAUUAGAUGAGCCUAGGUCGGAUUAGCUAGUUGGUGGGGUAAAGGCCUACCAAGGCGACGAUCCGUAACUGGGCUGAGAGGAUGAUCAGUCACACUGGAACUGAGACACGGUCCAGACUCCUACGGGAGGCAGCAGUGGGGAAUAUUGGACAAUGGGCGAAAGCCUGAUCCAGCCAUGCCGCGUGUUUGAAGAAGGUCUUCGGAUUGUAAAGCACUUUAAGUUGGGAGGCGUUACCAACAGAAUAAGCACCGGCUAACUCCGUGCCAGCAGCCGCGGUAAUUC